GGGUGCAAGGACUAAAAUUUGUACUCCAGCAAUUGGUAUUCCACUGCCAACUUCAUUGGACAUUAACCAACUCAAUUUUACACUGUAAAUAGCCAUCUACAGAUGACUUCUCUCAAACAAUGGAGAUCUCGGAGAGAGCAUCAUCUAAAAGAAGAAUCAAUCUAAAAAAAUAUGACAUGACCUAAUUAGUUCUCUCUAUAUAUGGCACCUAUCUAUAUCAACAGUUUUUGGCCCN
rnacentral:lncRNA from 1 species